rnacentral:rRNA from 1 species
AUUGAACGCUGGCGGCAGGCCUAACACAUGCAAGUCGAGCGGAUGAAGGGAGCUUGCUCCUGGAUUCAGCGGCGGACGGGUGAGUAAUGCCUAGGAAUUUGCCUGGUAGUGGGGGAUAACGUCCGGAAACGGGCGCUAAUACCGCAUACGUCCUGAGGGAGAAAGUGGGGGAUCUUCGGACCUCACGCUAUCAGAUGAGCCUAGGUCGGAUUAGCUAGUUGGUGGGGUAAAGGCCUACCAAGGCGACGAUCCGUAACUGGUCUGAGAGGAUGAUCAGUCACCAUGGAACUUAAACACGGUCCCGACUCCUACUGGAGGCAGCAGUGGGGAAUAUUCGACAAUGGGCGAGAGCCUGACCCAGCCAUGCCGCGUGUGUGAAGAAGGUCUUCGGAUUGUAAAGCACUUUAAGUUGGGAGGAAGGGCAGUAAGUUAAUACCUUGCUGUUUUGACGUUACCAACAGAAUAAGCACCGGCUAACUUCGUG